UUACAUUGAUCCACUUCCUGCGGAAACAAAAGUCAACCACUUGUUUUAACAGGAAUCCAUUGCGGAACCUUAAACCUUAAAGAUGGCGUCGUAUAUCACAAUCUGCUAUUUCUUGGCUACCGUAGUUUGCUGCUGUCUUUGCUGUCAAGUGAUCCAGCCAGCAAAUUCCACUCAGACUAUCACUGUUACUAAAGGAACAUCUGUUAGAAUGCAGUGGGUUCCAUUGCUGCAAGGAUGUCAAUUCAUUGGCCAGCAAUGCGGUUAUUUAUCAGGUAGCAGCCUUAUAACUUUAGCAGAAAAGAGGAGAGAUGGAGCUUUUCAAGCUGUUUCUGCACUGCCAAAACAGUUUGCUGGAAGGGUAUCGGCGAUUUCUUCAAGCUAUACUCUAGUCAUUGGCAACAUACAGUUUAACGACACAGCCUACCGUUUCAGAUGCAAUGUUGAAGCCGGUUUUUGGAUUUAUAGACGAAUGUACCCUCAAAAACCAACUUACAAUCUGCAAGUUUUUGGAAAGCCAGAGUUCAUGUCUCUGCCUUCUUCUGAAGUCGUUGUUGAAGAGGGAUCGACUUUACGCAUUGUUGCGAUGGUUUCUGCAAAUCCUGUACCAGUUGUAAGUUUUCGUUGGUCACGUGGUACGAACACCACGGUGUCACAAGCAGCCCAGCAAUAUCCAUUUGUGUUCAAAGGAACGUACGAAGUGCAGAAAAUUCCAAUCGACUAUUGUGGAAGAAGACUUUUAUUUAAAUUUACCAACGUCCAUGGCACCUCUGGAGAACGGAAUAUAUCGAUAAGAGUUCUUUUUCGCAAGGAUAAGCAAUUUUACCCAGAAGCCAAACUGGUGAACUCAUCAUGUUUGAAGAUGAGUUGGCAGAUUGGCAAAACUAAUGCGUGUGAUGUUUUGUACAAUUUGGUAUUGAAGAACCUUUCCUCAGCAACCCUGUAUCGUGUCAGUGUUUGGAAUCGCUCGGAAUUCACCUUCUGCAAUUCUGGAAUAGUUCCGGCGGUCGCAUUGUUCUCUUUGUCCUCUUCCCUUGGAGGAAAUUCAACUGUGUUUGUGAAGACAAGAACAACUAGCCCUCCUACCACAACCCAUUCGAGUAGCAUACCUAGAACAAGAAAAAGCACUCGGCUUACGUGGACGACAACUACCCGCAUUGCUACUGAUGAAAAGACAACAACAAAAACCCAGACAGUUACUGAUCAAAAGACAACAAUGAGUACCCGAAAAGCUAAGGAUGAGAGUACAAAAAACUUGAGAUCAUCUAAAUUUUUCACCAUCGAGGUAACAAGCUCCAACUUUACAACAAAGCAUUACAAAUCAACACAAACCAGACCAGCCAUCACUAAACAUUGUGAGUCAAACAGAAACUGCAGUGAGUCAGACAAGAAGAUAAAAGGACAGCAACAGCAGCAACAAAAUUUUGCUUCUUCCGUGGCGUACAUUGCUUUUGGUUUGGUCAUCUUUAUUUUGGUCAUCAUAAUUGUUUGUCUUUUGGUUUGGAAUUUCCGUCUAAGAGGCAAAACAAAAAUGGUUGAUUUAGUUUCAACUGUCCAAAGAAGUGGUUUCAGCAAAAAGUCAGCAGAAGAUGCACCAGAGAAGGGGAAUACAAAUUAUAUGGAUCUCAAAGAAAUUAAUGAACAGCCAAGCUACGCGACUUUGUCUGAAAGAGAAUCGUAUUAUGAGAAUUAUCAAGAGGGACCGUUUUAUGAAAACACAUUUACGUGAAAACAAAUAUGCAUGAACGAUUAUAUUUUCUUAUUUUGAAUGCAUAGCUAGGCUGCCUAGUUUAGUAUCUUUUUUUUAAAUUUGAAAAUUAAGAAAUAUGAUUUGUUUCAGCGAUCUCAAUAAAUGUUACUAUAUAUGUUUAUAAUAAAGAUCUUGAAAUAUAUCGAAAUGUCUGAUAGGCGUUUAGUAGCUUUAGAAGCCAGAAAAUGCAUAAUUCUUUCUACUUGACUUCAUCUCUAGAAAUGAAACACAUGGAUACCGUAAAUCCUCGAAUUAGCCCCCUUGGGGCUUAUUUAUUUUUGAUAUUUUUUGAUGGGGCUUAUUCGAGGAGGGCUUACCCGGGGGGCGCUUGUACAUUUGUUGUAGACAUUGAGAAGACUUUCUUUAUGAGCAUUUAAUUAAUUAUUACCAAAAGUAUGAAUUUGUUGUCGUAAUUUAAUAAAACGACACAAAAUCAAUACCCCAAAAUUUUGUUUCUUCUUGAAAAAUAUUACCACAAAAAAUGGAACAUCCCGCACCAGUAUAUGUGGAAGUUACCCUCCCCGGGCUUUUAUCAACAAAGGAAAAGCUUCUGUACAGUCGGAUUUUAAACCUUAAUUUCUAAAAGGUUUCUUCAAGCUUGCUAAAUUGUCCUCUUAAUUGCUGCCAUGGCUUGUACUUAGAUUCUGAAGGUAAAAUUAAAAAAAAUUACUAUGCUAGUUGCUUGUUUUCAUAAUAUCCGAUAUUCCAAUUGCUCGCAACGUGAAAAAGGUAAUUGCUAACGGAUACUACCAAAAAGGUUUGUAUUCUUCUUCUCUUGUUUCACCUAGUCAAGUUCUGAAACCACGCUGCAAUGCAUUUAGGGAUAGCGUUUCGAUGACUGCAAAGUGAAUUUGAUUCCUGAGUGCACCAAUUUCGAUUUCGUAGCUCACUUUCUUCUUGGCCGCCGUUUAAUUCAGGUUUACUUAAAUGAGGAAAUGAGGGAUAUUAUCAAAUUUUGUUAUUUCACAAAUUCUUUAUUCCUACAUCUGCAAUUUCAGACCAUUAUUUCGAUAUUGAAGAAGAUUAUUGGUGGACUUAUCCACCGUAAAUUAGGCCCUAGAACUAACUGAUGUGGUUCUUCAUUCUUUUCUCAAGGACUACACGCAACCAUUGCACAACUCAAGCCUCUCAGAUGUCUCACUGUUUAAAUGAUUAAUGAUGUCUUGGAAAGAGAUGUUGUGAAAUACGAAAGGUUUUCGCCGCCAGUCUGUUUCCACCUGAUAUUUUCACGUGAAAUACAGAACCCUUUCGCAAUGGGGCUGUGAAAAUAUGAUAAUUUCAAGCAUUAAUGCGAAUAAUUAUCAUAAAUAUUUGUUUUCAAAGAAGCCGGCUGAAAGAUCACGUGUUUCUUAAGAUGAAAUUAUGCCUCCGGGGGUGACUGCUACAAAGUAAAAGAGAACUGGAAAAUUAUAAUUCAAAGCUGACCAACAGAACAUCAUAACGAAAGAUGUUAUGGAAGAAAACAAUCAAUCUUUGUCUAAUAUAUUUAUUUCCAGGAAUAGCUCUAAAUUUAACGUUUGCUUUAUCAUAAAGUUCUUUGCUUGCUUUUCUCGGCUUGUGUUUACUGAACAAGUAUAUUUUUCACAAGGAUUUGGUUUUUUGCCGAAAAGCCUUCACAACAAAUAAAAUGUAACUACAGGAUUCCACAGAAAAGUUGUAAGGACCAUUUUGGUGCAGAUGUACUGCAAGUAAAAAGAUGCCCUCGGACCCGUUUGAACAUUAUGAUUAGUAUCAACUAUGCAUAAAGAAGAUGACAGCAAUAAAGCUUUGAUUUGCUCUGAAAUCUUUAGUUCUUUUCUCUAAACAGCUUUAUUUGUCGUGAAAAACAAAUCUUAUUUUCCAAUAUUGAAUAUGGGCACUCGUAAUACACUCCUUCGGCCGGUCGAUUCUAGUUCCCCCGGCCACUAACCACAUGAAAUAUUAAAGCGAUAUUGACAACUGUGAAAACCAAUCAGAAACAACAGCCUGUUCUAUCGUUUGAUCACAACACCGAAGCAGGUGAACAUAUGAUUGAUAAACUCAUGGCCUUCUGCUUCACAACUUAGAAUUUCGAAUAGGCAAAUACUCAUUCGAUCAUGUACUUCUUUUGGCAGUUAUGACUGCUGUGGAUAUCGAAACGAAGCCUCAAGUAUAGGAAUGUUAUAUAAAUGGAUUGCUGAAGGGCUGCUGAAAAAUGCUGGAAAUGCAUCAACAUGAUAAUUUUGAUGCUCACCAUUGUCAAAUGCCGAUGCAGUACCAGUGCAAAGGAGAACCAAACAACGGAGAUAAAGAUGGCAGAAGAGAAACAACUGUGAUAGCCACAACAGGUACAACUCCUGAUCAGGCCCAUGAGAUCAGCUACUGUGAUACAAAAGUAAUUGGGAAUGGAUCAUUUGGUGUUGUAUACCAAGCACGUCUCCUUGAGACUGGAGACUUAGUUGCAAUAAAAAAAGUUUUACAGGACAAAAGGUUCAAG